rnacentral:rRNA from 1 species
CUACGGGCGGCAGCAGUGGGGAAUAUUGGACAAUGGGGGGAACCCUGAUCCAGCCAUGCCGCGUGUGUGAAGAAGGCCUUUUGGUUGUAAAGCACUUUAAGCAGUGAAGAAGACUCUUCGGUUAAUACCCGGGGACGAUGACAUUAGCUGCAGAAUAAGCACCGGCUAACUCUGUGCCAGCAGCCGCGGUAAUACAGAGGGUGCAAGCGUUAAUCGGAAUUACUGGGCGUAAAGCGAGCGUAGGUGGCUUGAUAAGUCAGAUGUGAAAUCCCCGGGCUUAACCUGGGAACUGCAUCUGAAACUGUUAGGCUAGAGUAGGUGAGAGGGAAGUAGAAUUUCAGGUGUAGCGGUGAAAUGCGUAGAGAUCUGAAGGAAUACCGAUGGCGAAGGCAGCUUCCUGGCAUCAUACUGACACUGAGGCUCGAAAGCGUGGGUAGCAAACAGGAUUAGAUACCCGUGUAGUC